GUAUCUGUAUGUCUGUCAGUGUGUGUGUAUAUGUCUGUCAGUGUGGUGUGUAUCCAUGUCUGUCAGUGUGUGUGUAUCUGUAUGUCUGUCAGUGUGUGUGUAUAUGUCUGUCAGUGUGUGUGUAUCCAUGUCUGUCAGUGUGUGUGUAUCUGUAUGUCUGUCAGUGUGUGUGUGUAUAUGUCUGUCAGUGUGUGUGUAUCUGUAUGUCUGUCGGUGUGUGUGUAUAUGUCUGUCAGUGUGUGUGUAUCCAUGUCUGUCAGUGUGUGUGUAUCCUGUAUGUCUGUCGGUGUGUGUGUGUAUAUGUCUGUCAGUGUGUGUGUAUAUCUAUGUCUGUCAGUGUGUGUGUAUAUCUAUGUCUGUCAGUGUGUGUGUAUUCAUGUCUGUCAGUGUGUGUGUAUUCAUGUCUGUCAGUGUGUGUGUAUCUGUCUGUCAGUGUGUGUGUAUAUGUCUGUCAGUGUGUGUGUAUAUGUCUGUCAGUGUGUGUAUAUGUCUGUCAGUGUGUGUGUAUCCAUGUCUGUCAGUGUGUGUGUAUCUGUAUGUCUGUCAGUGUGUGUGUAUAUGUCCUGUCAGUGUGUGUGUAUCCAUGUCUGUCAGUGUGUGUGUAUCUGUAUGUCUGUCUGUCAGUGUGUGUGUAUAUGUCUGUCAGUGUGUGUGUAUCUGUAUGUCUGUCAGUGUGUGUGUAUCCGUCUGUCAGUGUGUGUAUCUGUAUGUCUGUCAGUGUGUGUAUCUGUAUGUCUGUCAGUGUGUGUGUAUAUGUCUGUCAGUGUGUGUGUAUCCAUGUCUGUCAGUGUGUGUGUAUCUGUAUGUCUGUCAGUGUGUGUGUGUGUAUAUGUCUGUCAGUGUGUGUGUAUAUCUA